GAUGAACGCUGGCGGCGUGCCUAAUACAUGCAAGUCGAGCGAACAGACGAGGAGCUUGCUCCUUUGACGUUAGCGGAGGACGGGAGAGUAACACGUGGAUAACCUACUUAUCUGACUGGGAUAAUCACGGGACACCGGAGAAAAUACCGGAUAAUAUAUUGCACCGCAUGGUUCAAUAGUGAAAGACGGCUUUGCUGUCUCUUAUAGAUGGUUCUGCGCCGCAUUAGCUAGUUGGUAAGGUCAAGGCUUACCAAGGCAACGAUGCGUAGCCGACCUGAGAGGGUGAUCGUCCACAUUAGAACGGAGACGCGGUCCAUACCCCUACGGGAGGCAGCAGUAGGGAAUGUUCCGCAAUGGGCGGGAGCCUGACGGAGCAACAGCACGUGUGUGAUGAAAGUCUUCGGAUCGUAAAACUCUGUUUUUAGGGAAAAACAAAUGUGGAAGUAACUAUGCAGUUCGUGACGGUACCUAAUCAGAAAGCCACGGCUAACUACGUG
rnacentral:rRNA from 1 species